GACAGAGGUCCCGAGCGUUAGGCGGAAUCACUGGGCUUAAAGCGUGUGUAGGCGGAUGCCUAAGUACCUUGUGAAAUCCCACGGCUCACCCGUGGAACUGCUUGGUAUACUGGGUGUCUUGAGCCACUUAGGGGCUACCGGAACAAAUGGUGGAGCGGUGAAAUGCGUAGAUAUCGUUUGGAACGCCAACGGUGAAAACAGACAGCUGGGAGUGUGCUGACGCUGAGACACGAAAGCCAGGGGAGCGAACGGG
rnacentral:rRNA from 1 species